rnacentral:rRNA from 1 species
AUUGAACGCUGGCGGCAUGCCUUACACAUGCAAGUCGAACGGCAGCACGGGAGCAAUCCUGGUGGCGAGUGGCGAACGGGUGAGUAAUAUAUCGGAACGUGCCCAGUCGUGGGGGAUAACGCAGCGAAAGCUGUGCUAAUACCGCAUACGAUCUACGGAUGAAAGCGGGGGAUCGCAAGACCUCGCGCGAUUGGAGCGGCCGAUAUCAGAUUAGCUAGUUGGUGGGGUAAAAGCCCACCAAGGCGACGAUCUGUAGCUGGUCUGAGAGGACGACCAGCCACACUGGAACUGAGACACGGUCCAGACUCCUACGGGAGGCUG